rnacentral:rRNA from 1 species
CAUGUCUUUUUGAUUAUAAUUUAAAGUCUGGUCUGCUCAAUGAGGAAUUAAAUUGCCGCGGUAUAUUGACCGUGCGAAGGUAGCAUAAUAAUUAGUUUUUUUAUUGAAAGCUUGUAUGAAUGAUUGGACGAGAGAAUUACUGUCUCUUUUUAAUUUAUUAUUGAAUUUAAUUUUUAAGUUAAAAAGCUUAAAUUUUUUUUAAAGACGAGAAGACCCUAUAGAGUUUUAUAUAAUAAUUGUUUGUGUAUAUAUGGAAUUUUAUAUAUAUUAAUAGUUUUUAUAUUUGGUUGGGGUGACUUGAAGAUUUAAUAAACUCUUUAUAUUAAAAUCAUUGAUUUAUGAAUUUUAAAUCUAAUAUUAUUAAAUUUAAGAUAAAUUACCUUAGGGAUAACAGCGUAAUUCUUUUUUAGAGUUCUUAUUAAAAAAAGAGUUUGCGACCUCGAUGUUGGAUUAAAAUUAAUUUUUGGUGCAGAAGCUUAAAAAUUGGGUCUGUUCGACCUUUAAAAUUUUACAUGAUCUGAGU